GGAUCUGAGUUGCGGGCUUUGCCUGCCAUCUCUUACCCAUGUCUUUUGAGUACCUUACGUUUCCUCGGCGGGUCCGCCCGCCGACUGGACAAUUUAAACCACUUGCAAUUGCAAUCAGCGUCUGAAAAAACUUAAUAGUUACAACUUUCAACAACGGAUCUCUUGGUUCUGGCAUCGAUGAAGAACGCAGCGAAAUGCGAUAAGUAGUGUGAAUUGCAGAAUUCAGUGAAUCAUCGAAUCUUUGAACGCACAUUGCGCCCCUUGGUAUUCCAUGGGGCAUGCCUGUUCGAGCGUCAUUUGUACCUUCAAGCCUUGCUUGGUGUUGGGUGUUUGUCUCGCCUCUGCGCGUAGACUCGCCUCAAAACAAUUGGCAGCCGGCGUAUUGAUUUCGGAGCGCAGUACAUCUCGCGCUUUGCACUCAGAACGACGACGUCCAAAAGUACAUUUUUACACUCUUGACCUCGGAUCAGGUAGGGAUACCCGCUGAACUUAAGCAUAUCAAUAGGCCGGAGGAA
rnacentral:rRNA from 1 species